ensembl:snoRNA
AGCACUUGUAUGUUUUAACAUGUGGACAGACAGGCUCAAAAAAUCCUCUUGCAACCCAAAACUCACUGUUCAGUAUGAGUCUUGAUACAUGUAAGAGAAGGGAUU